rnacentral:rRNA from 1 species
AUUGAACGCUGGCGGCAUGCUUUACACAUGCAAGUCGAACGGCAGCGCGGGCUUCGGCCUGGCGGCGAGUGGCGAACGGGUGAGUAAUACAUCGGAACGUGCCCAGUAGGGGGGGAUAGCUCGGCGAAAGCCGGAUUAAUACCGCAUACGACCUGAGGGUGAAAGCGGGGGAUCUUCGGACCUCGCGCUAUUUGAGCGGCCGAUGGCAGAUUAGCUAGUUUGUGGGGUAAAGGCCUACCAAGGCGACGAUCGGUAGCUGGUCUGAGAGGACGACCAGCCACACUGGGACUGAGACACGGCCCAGACUCCUAAGGGAGGCAGCAGUGGGGAAUUUUGGACAAUGGGCGAAAGCCUGAUCCAGCAAUGCCGCGUGUGUGAUGAAGGCCUUCGGGUUGUAAAGCACUUUUGGCGGGAACGAAAAGGACUGUGCCAAUACCACGGUUCGAUGACGGUACCCGCAGAAUAAGCACCGGCUAACUACGUG